ACUCACUCUGUAGACCAGGCUGGCCUCGAACUCAGAAAUCCGCCUGCCUCUGCCUCCCAGAGUGCUGGGAUUACAGGCGUGCGCCACCACUGCCCGGCAAAGACUUGUUUCUUUUUCUGUAUGUAGUUCUAAAGCAUUUUGAAUGGCUGACAGUUUUAAAAUUUGAAAUUACCUUUUGAGUGUACUGGUUAGAUUCUAGUGUUUCUGGUUGAGCAGGUAUGAGCAUGGGAACCAAGGGCAACCUGUAAUUUUGUUUUUAUAGUGGUUAAUGGCAGUGUGUAAUUUCUGCUUGAUUUCCAUCCACUCUGUUUUCCUCAUUAGCUCAUUACUUAGGAAGGUAGUGACUGGAGACGGGAAGUAGGAUGCAGGGGUGAGCUGUAAGCCACCUCUCUAUCCGGACCCUGUUGGCAUGGCGGCCAGAUCGCUCUGCACUGCCAUUAGAGAGCGCACUAGAGCCACAGCUGGCCUCUCACUGACAUCUCUCAGGCUUGUUGGUUCAGACUACAGAUGGACUGGACUUUCAGACAGGUCCUGAUAUUACUUAGGGAUAUAUGGGAACAAUGAUGGGGACCAAGCUUGUGAGGAACUCCAUGAUGAAAGUGGGCUUUAUUUGCUCUGAGGGCUUUAGUUUGUAGUUUUUGUUCCCAUCCUUCCCAGUCAAGUGAUGCCAAGAGCAAUACAGUUGAGUAGGUGGCAGGCCCAAAUUCUCCUAGCGUUUUCUAGACCUGAAUUCAGAGGAUAAGGUGAGUCUAGACGUCUAUACAAUCUGUGCUUGUUAGACCGAUUCUUCCCAAUGCCAAGCAAGCCAACCACUCUACAAGUGCCUUGGAGCACCAGGAGAUCCCAGUAGUAGAUUCAGGGUCUGCAGGAGACCCUGCUGAACCUCCCUGGAGGUGGUCUCCAAGUGGCGGUGAUGCGAGAGCUCUGCUCUGAUUGUUCAAAAUAAGCAUUUCUUGUCUGAGCAAAUCCCCAAACUUCCUCAUCCUCAUUACUCAACUACCUCAGUCUCACAACUCAAGGCACACAAGCACCUACUCGCCUUCGUCUUCCUGCACUCUCCCUGUGUAACAAGCUAGGCCCUAGAGUAAGAACUGAGUGGUGCUGUGCAGUCUGAGAGGGAUGGAGUGGACGUCUCUGCUCCUGCCCCUCUGGGUGGGUCGGGUAAUGACUUCUAGAUGCACUCGUUACCCUGGAGAGAAGUUAAUUUAUACUUAAGAUGCAUUUUGUACAUUUCCCCUUUACCCAGAAACCUGUAGUUUUAUACUCUCCCAUGUAUGUCUGCACCAACACUACCUCUCGCUCACUCUCCGUGGCUGACUUCUGGUCCCAUUUCCUUCCUGUGACUUGGAAGAGCUUUCUUUGCUAACAUGAACCUCUUUUUUAAAUAAAACACAAAAGUCUCCUGUC